rnacentral:lncRNA from 10 species
CAGGCAAUCACUCUCUCUCUCUCUCUUUUCCUUUCCAACGCGGGACCUUUGGUGGGCAGUGCCUAAACAUGGAGACAACUGCAGGUUUCUGGGCGUGGCCAGUCAAACUAAGGGGUUUCCGCGUGGAGAAGCCUGACGGCCACUGCCCGGUUUGCUUACAGGACCUGGGCCUUUUUCAUUUUUCUUUUGCCCUCUCUUUGUUUUUCAGUCUUUCAGACGCUGAUUCCUGGUAGCUCAUCGGAAAUUGAGGACAAUUGGCUGGGGUCACUCCCAGGUACUGCAUGAAGGUCUAGGAAUGAAUGCGAAUAAUUGCCCGGCCCAAAAAGGGGAAGGACUUUUUAAAAAAUCUUUUCUGCAUGAUCCCUGAUCCCUACCUGCAGGGCAGCUCAGAGCAAACUCAAACAUGUUUCAGGACAAAGAGAAGUGGAAAACAGGUCUGUUACGUGCACUUAUGGGGUGUACUCUUAUUUGUGAAGAACUUUGCAGCCAGCCUUAUACAUGGAUAAGCUUACACUUUGAUAGAUAAAAGACGAAGGCCCAAUGUAGAGACCAUCGACAUUCAGAUGACCAUGCAACAAAGGUUCCAGCCAGUUCCAGAUGAAGACACCACCCCUGGCCAUCAAGAAGCUAACCCGCCUCCACCAGACAGAGCAGGGUGAGAGUUUCGUGAUCCCUAAUAGGAAGAGACUACGCCCGAAGCCAGCAUGAAGCAGUUACAGAAAAAAGACUAUCGGUUCCUCUGCCUCCCAUAAAGAUUUAUGGGAAUGACAUCUCUCAGUGGGGAAUGGGCAGGAAAAUAGGGUCUGGAGGCAAGGAACUUAAGGUCCAUAAAUAAUUUAGCUAUGUCAAGAAAUAUCCUCUCCACAAGGCGUACGCCGAGUAAAUGACUUUGUAACUUUACUUCAUCCUCUUCAUUUACAUAGGGCAUACCGCAAGUAACCAAUGGAAUCCCCAAGAGGGUAUUUAAACUCCCCAAAAUUCUGUAACUGGGCCCUUGAGCCCCUAUGCUCAGGCCUCCUCCCACAAUGUGGAGUGUACUUUCAUUUUCAAUAAAUCUCUUCAUCCCUUCCUUGCUUUGCUUGCGCAUUUUGUCCAAUUCUUGUUCAUGAUGCCAAGAACCUGCACACCCU